AUAUAAUGUACCCACUUUAGGACUCUGUCGCACUAACAUAUUUGACAUUUAGUGAAACUUACAGUUCAAUUUGUCAAAAAAGUAAAUGUGACAUGGUACCAAAGUGUAUACAUAUUAAUGCUCGUGACCGUACAGUAUACCUACACACACACUCGUCGCCGCCUAUGUUUCAGUCCUAAGUAAAAGGAGGCGAGACUAUUGCCAUUAACUGGGCCCAAAUUCUGGUAACCACGUGAUAUCAAUAUCUAUGAUCCAAACAUAUCAUGGUAUAAAAACUUGCAUUAUCAUUUCCCUCUAUAUCUUAAUACAGUGACAGUUCAGAAGUUCGGUUGUACAGUGAAGUGACUAUUUAAAAGUUUGGUUGUACAGUACAGAGAUGAACAGAUAUUUAUGUUAUAAGCACAGUUUCAAAACUGAUAAUGUAACAGAUAUUAUUUUAAGUGUUAUUUUUAUUACAUAAAGCAACACUGAUGAGUACUUGAAAUUGUGUGCGUACAUUCAAACACUCUGUAAAUAAAAUAUUUUGUAGGUAUUCUUUAUGAUGAAAAGUCCAAGAUUUUUGUCAAGAAUUGAUUAAUUUAUAAGAAUUAAUAAUUAUAUAUGAGAAAAGAUGUUGAACGCAACCUAAGUAUUUACCAGUGUUGCCAAAAAAAACAUAUAAUGUACAAUAUAAAUAUCAUUUACUUAAUCAAAAUGUAUAGAUGUUUAUUCGAUUCUACUUGAUGUACAUUUGCAUAACCGCAUAUUUUAUUAAGAUCAAAUAUACAAGUCCGUAGAAUAUCUUUUGAAACAGACAUACAUACAUAAAUACCUACUGUAGCAUUUGAUGUUAAUAUUUAAAUAGUACUAGUAUGCAUUAAAUGUGUAUCUACAAACGAUAAAUGUAACGACUUAUUGUUAUUCUCCGCAUAUGCAAUAUAAAUAAAAAUAGGAAGUGUUAUAAUACAGUAUCUAACUACAGGGGUUUCAUCAACACAAUCUUCAGAAUAAAAAUAUUAUACACAUACAUAUACGUACUUAAAUUCACGCCUGCACUGGGGUAAGCAGACUCUGGAAUUCCAUUUGCUUUAGUCCUGACACACUUCUCUUGCUUCCUCCACAUUCAUCAAUCAAUCCAUCUUCAAUUUGGUCAAUGUACGUCCUUCUAGGUCUUCCUCUACCAGCCCUACCUCCAACCUUCGCUUUGUAUACUGCUUUCAAAUAUUAUAAAUUAAUACAUAUACAUUUAUGUACGUAUAUGUCAUGGUCAUGUCUGACGGUUUCUGGUCCUUUUAACACAUUACAUUUAGUACCAACGCCGGAGACCGUAUUACUUAUCGAAAUAAGCGCCAUCUAAAGAAGGUAUGGAGCAUAUUCCACCACGCUGCUCCAUUGCGGGUUGGUGGAGGUGCUUUUACGGCUAAUAGCCGGGAUUAACUGCUUAACGUGCCCUCCGGACGUGCCUUUUCGGACAAUCAGGUGAUACAAGCCUGCAAAGUCCUUACCAAACAAAGGACAGUCUCACAAAAUGAUUUCGACAAUGUCCCCAUCGGGAAUCGAACCCGGUCCUCCAGAUCGUCUAGUGAGAAGUGUCAUCUAGUGACAAUUAUUAUUUAUCAUCCAACAUCCAAUUCAACCAAAUUUUUUCAUAAGUGUAUUGUGGAAACCCUAUUGCAGCCCAGAGGGACAACUAAUUGUACAAAACAUUUACCGCUUCUUCUUUGUGUCGGUAUAUAAAUAGCAAAAAAGAAAAAUAAAAAGUUACUAAUCAAA
rnacentral:lncRNA from 1 species